rnacentral:lncRNA from 1 species
AUCUGAUUAUUUUUACAAUUUAGAAGGGAAUAAAAGUAUUGGCUAAAAACAGAGCGGGCUCUAUCGGCUGGAACAUGCGGUCAGCAGGUUGUUCUUAGGGAAGCCUGGAAUAAUGCUGUGAGCAGGACACCCGUAAAUCACCGCGGGAGCGAGCAGAGUUGCGGGAUACUUCCGCUCCACCCUCGAGAUUCUGGCUCAGUCAACCCGGAAGGCAGCUCAGGCCUCCACACCCUGGGUUCCUCAGCGGAUGUAAUGCCCAGCCAGGAGGGAGUGUCACUGCUCCGCGUGAGGGUUAAACUGCCAUCACCUCGCUGUUUACUCCAAGGAAACUAGAGAAAGCGCAGAUCACCCUCAGAGCGAUAAACGUCCCUUGUCUCCAGGAGUUUUCUGUUCCAGUUCCCUUGGCCAGCAGAGCUUACACAACUGGGGCUCCAAUACCUCCUUAAAAUUACAGAAGAGACAUGUGCUCAAUCAGAAGGUUGGAUGUGUAAUGGAUGUCUGUUGAAAGGACUGAAGACAGAAAAACCUAUCCUAAUGAUACUCCAAACCAAAUAUGUGUCUUGCUUUCCAACAUCUACAAGCUCUAUUUUUGUUGAAAAAUAAAAUCAGUAAUCUCGUUAAUUCUUUCAACAGAUGCCCGUUCUACUUUUAGCUUUGAGAAACAGCCAGUCGGUCUUAUUAAAGACCACAGUGGAAAGGGAAUAUGAUUUCUUUGAUUAGCUAUGGAUGAGGAAGGAAACUGUGGCCCCC